CAUUCUGAGUUCUCACAAAUAGGGGGAGGAUGCCACUGGCACCUAGUAGGUCAGGGAUGCUGCUAAGCAUCCUGCAGUGCCCAGGACAGCCCCACAAAGACUCAUCCAGCCUGAAUGUCAAUAGCGCUGAGGUUGAGGAGCCUUACUUUACGGGAACUAGGCAGGAGGAUUCUGUAUGCCCAAGGACGUUGGUCAUUAUCACGUGUCCACUUCAGUACAGCACUAUUCAGAGGCAAUGCUUUUUGGGUAAUGGAUUUUUCUCUUAACAGGUUCUUCAUUUUGAAAAUGUCAAAGAUGUACCCUUUGGAUUUCAAACAGUAACAUCGGAUGUAAACAAACUUAGUUCCUUUUACUCACUGAAACUAAUCAAGCGGCUCUACGUAGACAAAUCUCUGAAUCUUUCUACAGAGUUCAUCAGCUCUACGAAGAGACCCUAUGCAAAGGAAUUGGAAACUGUUGACUUCAAAGAUAAAUUGGAAGAAACGAAAGGUCAGAUCAACAACUCAAUUAAGGAUCUCACAGAU
rnacentral:sRNA from 1 species